CAGCUCCAGGGGAUUAAUAAAUGCCUUCUGAACUGAAGUGAUGGGUUUUUGUAAGAAAAAUAUCCAUAUUUAAAACUUUAUUAACUAAUAACUAGCUUCCGGCAGAUGGUCGUAAACAUCGAUUUGCAAUGGAAGAGUGAACUCUGAUCCAACGCAUGACGUAAUGAUGAAAGCGGACGCGCAGAGGAUAGAGCUAAACAAAACACCGGUCACGAAUUAGAAGCCUUUAAUGAUAAUUUUUAAAGAAAAAUGUCAGAGAAUUUCGAUAUUAGAGAAGAGGAGCUUAAAUUUGUUGCACAGCCCAAUUUGUUCGAACUGCAAGAGGCGUCUAAGCUUACGGUACUCCUACAUCCUGUGUCAUACAUCGCGUCAAGGGGUUACUCAUUUGGCAAAAGUCGACUUGCACACUAUGCAUACGGUCAUCCACCGGAAGCUAGUUAUUUGCAUUUAUAAAGUUUUAAAUAUGGAUAUUUCUCUAACAAAAAUGCAUUAUUCGCUUAAAAAUGUAUGGAUUAUUUUUUUAUAAAAAUCUGCCCCCAAACCCCACCCCCCACCCCUUGGAAAAGCAAGGAUAUUUUUAAAUAUAUGUUCAUCUGAAAGAAGACAUACACCAUAUACACCUAGGAUGGCUUGAGGGUGAGUAAAUCAUGGGAUAAUUUUAAUUUUUGGUUGAACCUACCCUUUAAAGAUACCAAUUAUCACUAAACUUCCUGAAAUAAUUGAUACCUCUGCAAAAUUUCUUUGACUGUAUUUAUCUUAUGUAGCAAUGCGGAUGUAAGCCAUUUUCUGUGAUUGUGUGCAUUUUUUAUUCAUUAUAGCCACUACAGUAAAUAAUAAAUUGCAGUAAAUGGUCAAAUAACUUGCACUACAAACCAGUGAUGUUUGAUCACGAUAAUAAAUGAAAAUAAUAUGAUAACAAAUAAGUUUAUAAAAUCAAUCAACAGUUUUUGUAAAGCUAAAAUAACUGGAAGAGGAUGAGAGCGGAAGCCUCGACACAAAAGUUACAAUAGCCACGCCUGUUCUUACAUCAAGAAUAAGGUAUAGACAUUUAAUGCAGACGUGUGCAGCCGGUAUCACAUUUGCUUAUGUCAGACACACAAGUAAAUGCACUGAAACAUGCUCUCAGAUGGCUCUCAGUGGAUGUGAUGCCAUCUCAAGCCCUAUAAUUAAAGUGUGACGUGUGGUUAUGCUAGUGUCAAUCAUUUGUAAUCUGUACAGCCAUUAAGGGGCGAACUUGUCAGAGCGAUUGAUCUGCGGCGCCUCUCAGACGCUGUUUUAUUCUCCGGCAGUGAAAAGGCCGUGGCAUUUGAUUGACAGCGUGUCUCUGCCUGCGUAACAACUCACUAGCUAAUGUUCACACUAAAAGCAAAAGUCAUCUUUCUCUGAUAAUCAUGGACUGGUUCCACCAGAGAUGUUAUGUGUAUGUCACAGUUUAAAAUGGGAAACUUUAAUAGUUGUAUAUAGAUGGCUGAAUGUGGAGUACCUUGACGGAUGAGGAUGCGGUGUUGUUUACUGGCUUAUACAACAUCAGGACUCAACAGAUGUUGCUCGAAAUGUGGCAAGCUAAUACUACCGAUGAUAUGAUGAUAUUGUCAAUCAAAUGAAGUAUUCCUUUUUAAGGGGAUGUAAAUAAACUGAAAAGGUGAAAAUGCCAGACUUUCUUUAAAAUCAGCAUUUCUCAAAUGAUGGUUUGUGAUCCAGUGAUUUACUGAUCUAUUCUGAAUGGAUAAUACAAUAAAUAUUGUAUACAGCUCACAAAAUAACUGCCAAAGCAUUAAACAUGCAAAUAUAUAACUGAUUAAAUAAAUUAAUUUGAGUAUUAAUAUUUAUGUAUAUGCAAGUACAUACAUUAAUACUACUCAAAUUAAUCCUUAGAUGCAUGAAUUUUUCGCCAGUCAUUAUUACAUGUCAGGGUCUUUAGAAACCCGGAUCGAACAUGGAUGGAACUCUAACUGCUGCAAAAGUAUAAAUCUCUCCUCAUAUUGUGGCAUCGUGAAAGGUAGGGUAUCACCAAAGGGUGGAUUGCUUCACAAAUCGAGUCCAGACAGAGAUCAAGCAACUGGUUUCUUUUUAAUCAUCAACUCAAAACUUAAAAAUUUUCAUCAUCAUUAGACAUUAUAUUAUACUUCUCUGACUGAACUAGCAAGGAGAUGUUGGAGUCAAUGAGAAAGCUGGUAAGUUCAAGUAAAGUUUGGCACAUUCAGUUAGACCAUGUAACCUUUAUUAAUAGAUACUUGUAUACUAUUUUCUCUUUACAGGUUGAAUGUAAACCUGAGUAAACGCAGCUACUUUAAUGAUUAUUUCUAAGUUUACUGAGCGAUGUAAACUGCUGUCAUCCACGUCACAUCAUUGCUCUAACUGACGUUACCAGAAGAAUCCUUUCAGUGUCUGGAGUGAACUUAUGUAAGUAAAGCAAAACAUUUCAGAUUUUUUUUUUUUCUUAUUUGCUUUUGUAAGGAUAUCUUAAUGAAGAAAAUGUAGGGCAACAAUGUUAACAUUACCUACCUUUUUUUCCCCCAUCAUCGCAGUCCUACAUUUUAUAAGUGUGUUGCUGCUUUUUGUUAAGCACGCUGAUCUGAGAAAUGUGAUUUUUUUUUUUUUUUAUAUAUAUAUAUAUAUAUUACUACAUUCAUGUGAAUAAAAUAGCAGUAGCUUUAUCCUUUACAAUCUUUCUUUAUUUGCAGGCUGAGCUGGAUGCUUACUGAAGAGUGAGCUUCAACACUUCAGUUAACUUCAGUUGAGCUGAAAUGCAAGCUGUGUGAUGUCUCCUCAGAUAACUGGACACAGACUUGACUAUCUUUUCUACAUCCAUUGUUGGUUAUACACUUGUGUGUUUUUGGUUUUCUAGGUUUGUGCAAAGUUACACCAUAUCACUGAAAACGGCACGCAUCAACAAGAUUUCAGAGACUCUGCGUGACAUUUUAAAUGUUUAUGAUCUUCAGGGUGUGCAUGAUGUCAACAUGAAACGCACUCUAGCCCUCCAUGCUCCUCAGUGUACCUGUGUGAGGAGGACCCACAUUUUUUUAAGACUUGAAAUGAGGUGGGAGAGCCAGACAUCACUGAUUUUGUCAUUGUGUUCAACGAAAGUCCUUCAAGCACUGCAGUUGUGAUAGAAGAUGAUCUUCAGUUUUGGCAUGUUCAGAAGCACUUGUUCACACAGUCACAGGGUUCUAAAAAUAAAAGACUAAUCUUCAAAAAAAUCUUCAAUUGUACAGCUGAAGGUUUAUUUUAUUUAUUUUUUGUUAUUGUUGUUUGUUUGUUUGUUUGUUUUUUGAGUUAGUAUUUUUAUGUAAUGAAGUACUGCAGUGGUGCCCUAUCCUGUUCCUGGAGAUACCUGCCUGCAGAGUUCAGCUAAGUUAUUCAGCUAAUUAUUUUGCUAAGUACAAAAUGUGUUUAACAGCAAAACUUACCAAUGUGUUGAAAACAUUUUUUUAAGUUUGUCUAUACUUAUUAAAUUGUACAGUCUGUGUAUAAGUAAAUACCGGUGUAUAAUUUUUCAAAAUUUGGUAAAUAUUUUAUUAAAAUAAUUGUAUAACAACUGCUGUUAUUUGAUGUAAUAUAGUUUUGUAAUUGUUUUGUAAAUAAAAUGUUUUCAUGUCAACCAGAUCAAGUGAGUUUUUUACAAAUGGACAUAUAAUUGCUUUCAAAAUAAUGUGAUGUUUGUAUAGAUUUAAGUAAUGUUAUUUAUGUAUUAUAUAAUUAAAAUGUAAGUAAACGUUUUGGCUGGGUAUCAAAUUUAAAUGAAAAAUGUAUGAACAGUAUGUAGAUAUAUAAACGGGGCUGGGCCAUUUCUGGCGCGCUGUGCGCAUUUGCGACGGCCCGAUACCGGCUUGAUUCCGGCAGUGUCGGCAUGGUAACGGCUGCUGCGUCUGGCCCAAUUGAUUCGGCCCAAAAUCAGGCAGUGAGUACACAAGCAUCCGGCUGUUACAUGUACACUUGCUGUUUUGGACUCAUUUUGGACUUGUUGUUGUUCUAUUUCCUGCCACUAGUCAUUCACCAUGGUAACUGAUCACCUCAUCAUCACAUCCAGCUGUGUCUCAUCACCCACCUUGUUAUCCCAUGUACAUAAGCCCUGUGUUUCCAGUCAUGUGUUGUCCGGUAUCAUUCAUUUAUACUUUGGUGUGUGUUCCUGAUCUCUCCAUUUGGAUUUCCUAGUAAAAGACUUGUUUUGAAUAUAUCUACUCGUCGUGUGCUUUAUACACCUGGGUUUUGUAACAGAAUACCGGACCAAAACAGUUAGACAGAUUGCAGCGUGUUGUUUUUUUUGUUUGUUGUUUUCCGUGUCAGUGUUUCACUCUUCGUUCCCGUCAUGAUGUACACACCCGCAUUUCUGUUGCUCUGCUUUGAGCAGAAGGACCGCUCCCUCGAGGCACAUUUGGACGAUUUUUUGUUCCUUGCCGGACAGCAGCCUUUGCAACUUUCUGUAUGCCGGCCUCAACACCGCCACCAAAGCGCAGCUGUCCGGGGAAGGACCUCGAGGGAGCUUCCCCGAAUACGUGGAGUGGGUACUGGCGUCAUGUGGAUCAUUGUUGACCGUGGAUUUCUGCGACAACAACACCAGUCCCACUCCCACUCCCACUCCAGUGCCCGGCCAGGAACCCUCAGACGGCAUGGAAAGUCAGCGCGACCCCAGCGAAGACAGAGAGCCCGCCUCCACCGCGAUACAGGAGCCAGCGACCAGCGGAACGACUGAGCGUAGCAUCGCCGUGGAGACAGAGCCCAGCGUGUCUGACUAGGUGUGUGAGUUUCUAGGUGUGUGAGUUUCUGCUACCAUCGCAGAGGGAGUCAGUGAGGAAGACGAGGGUUUGGAAUGGAGCCCCGUCCACACUCCCGCCACUGAGAGUGAGUUCCAGGCAUGCACCAAGGACUGUUUAUUUGGGUUUGGAGAGGAUUGUCUACCUCUAAAUCCUGAGACCGUCUGCCCUAUUUUAGAUGAACUGGUCCCACCCAGCCUCCCUCUCCCACCUCCUCUCCAAAUCCCUGAUAAUGACUUUGUUUGUUCUAGUCCCUCUGCUAUUCAGCCUGUUCUCCAGCCCACAACCUUGCCUGCUACCCAACCCUUGCUGUCUCACAUCACGCCCUCAGCUCUACACCAGCCUCCUCUCAGUGGCGUGGCUACACCUGGGGCCUGCUGUGAUCCAGCUUCAGGCAAUGAGGAUCCUGCGGCUCCGCCUCCGGCCUCAGGUCAUCUCGUAACACCUCGACUCAUUGUCCUGACUCCUCCGCUGCUGCUCCUUCCACCCUCAUCUACAGCAGUGACCAUCGAGCGUUCGGCUCCACUGGACUCCCUCGGUCCUGCAACUCCGCCUGGGUCAGACAUCACCAGCACAUAGCCACAGACCUACGGGUCAUUCAAGUUUCUCCGACCCUCGACCCCUACGGCUCCGAUUUGCUCCGCCUUCCCUCAGACUCCGCCUCGGCCCUCAGUCAUUCCAGCUCCACCUCAGCCCUCCGGUACCCUGCUGCCGCCUCGGGGGGCCGUCGCUGCGACUCCGUCGCGGACUCUGAGACCAUCGGCAUCACUCCGCUCCUUUGGCUCUCUGUCUUUGCACCAGGAUCUAUCUACAUCGGCUGCGCUGCUUCCACGCCUCGCCAAGGUUGUUUGGAGCGAUUCACCACCUCGGCUCCUCCCUCCAGCAAUGCAGCCGUGGGUCGCCGUCUUGGCUGUGGCCUGGAGCAUCACCUGGACUCCCCUGCUCAAGGCUACUCACUGGAUUUUACCACCAUCUACACCUCCCUGGACUCCAUCUCCUGCACCACCCUGGACUCCUACACUUUGCCGAG